rnacentral:snRNA from 14 species
GUCCUUACUUCAGCAGCAUACACAGUAAAAUUGGAAAUGAUACAGAGAAGAUUAGUAGGGUCCCUUCACAAGGAUGACACACAACUUCAUGAAGCAUUCCCUAUUUUU